rnacentral:rRNA from 1 species
CCUACGGGAGGCAGCAGUCGAGAAUCAUUCACAAUGGGGGAAACCCUGAUGGUGCGACGCCGCGUGGGGGAAUGAAGGUCUUCGGAUUGUAAACCCCUGUCAUGUGGGAGCAAAUUAACAAGAUAGUACCACAAGAGGAAGAGACGGCUAACUCUGUGCCAGCAGCCGCGGUAAUACAGAGGUCUCAAGCGUUGUUCGGAAUCACUGGGCGUAAAGCGUGCGUAGGCUGUUUCGUAAGUCGUGUGUGAAAGGCGCGGGCUCAACCCGCGGACGGCACAUGAUACUGCGAGACUAGAGUAAGGGAGGGGGAACCGGAAUGCUCGGUGUAGCAGUGAAAUGCGUAGAUAUCGAGAGGAACACUCGUGGCGAAGGCGGGUUCCUGGACAUUAACUGACGCUGAGGCACGAAGGCCAGGGGAGCGAAAGGGAUUAGAUACCCCAGUAGUC